CAAAUGUCUUAAGUUGUCAUCAAACUCGUUGAAGAAAAAUAGAAUUAAACGUUAUUCAAGAAAACUAAUAAAUCUUUACCCACAAGUUAUGUUAAAUAAGAAAAUAAAAUUAUCAUCCGACUUACUGCGAAAAAGAAAGGAUUGGAGUUCAAUGUGGUAUCUGGAUUAAGGAGUCUCUUGUGUUUGGGGCACUAACUAAUUUUCUGGAUUGUCUACAGGAUUCUUCUUACAGGAAAUUGAACUGCUUGUUCUUCGGAAAUAGGGUCUUGGAUGAUCUCGAAAUAGGUUGUAGGAUGAUUCUGUUUUUAUUUUAAUAUCACAUACAUUGGAGUACACGCCAAAUUUCAACAAUGAGUAAAGUUGGAAAAAUUCAAAUUUAAAUCAAGGAUUUCUUCCUCAAAAUAACGUUAAAACCUCAAACUAUGGAUGAUAAAUGUGCUUUAGGAGCUGAACUACAAUAAUUGAUACAUUUGGAAGUAAACAAAACGGUUUAAGAUAAGAUUUUCACCAACAAAAAUCUCUCUGUCAUAAAUUCUAGGUUAUGUUCUCUCUGUGA
rnacentral:lncRNA from 1 species